rnacentral:rRNA from 1 species
UGGGGAAUUUUGGACAAUGGGCGCAAGCCUGAUCCAGCCAUGCCGCGUGUGGGAAGAAGGCCUUCGGGUUGUAAACCACUUUUGUCAGGGAAGAAACGGCCUAAUCUAAUACAUUGGGUUAAUGACGGUACCUGAAGAAUAAGCACCGGCUAACUACGUGCCAGCAGCCGCGGUAAUACGUAGGGUGCGAGCGUUAAUCGGAAUGACUGGGCGUAAAGGGCGCGUAGGUGGAUGCGUGAGUAAAUUGUGAAAGACCCGGGCUUAACCUGGGAAGGUCAAUUUAAACGUCGUAUCUAGAGUGGAGUAGAGGGAAGUAGAAUUUCCGGUGUAGCGGUGAAAUGCGUAGAUAUCGGAAGGAAUACCGGUGGCGAAGGCGUCUUCCUGGACUCUAACUGACACUGAGGCGCGAAAGCAUGGGGAUCAAACAGGAUUAGAUACCCGUGUAGUCCCUGAGCGGGCUGGCAAGGCGCAU